rnacentral:lncRNA from 1 species
UUGUCAUUGAGAGCAGUGGAAUUAUUGAUGGAUAGUUUAUGAUACAUAAUCCUUGAUUUUGAUUUUUGUAGCGAUAAGAUGUGUGAUUGAUAAGUUGAAGACCAUGUUUUGCAAUAAGCAAGUGAAUUUGUGAGAUAUGAAACUCUAAGUUCAGUAACAGCCAUUGUAUUUGCAAGCAUAUAUUGAAUGGAAUUAAUAUUGGACGAUUACUAUAUAUUAAUUAAUUAACUAGUGUUUUCUUAUAUCAACAUAUUGAAUUGCACACAUAUAUAUAUAG